AAAAUUCGACCAAAGUCACUACAGAUAUAUAAGACCUGUAGCAAGUGGCAUACACCAAAGCACGAGCGGUUGUCGCAGCAGUGAGAGGGCUCAGUAACUUCGUUAAGUGUCUGAAAACUAUUUGUGGGCAUCUUGAGAACUCCAUCAUACCAAGGAUACCCCAGAAACUCCAAGUUCGCUACAAUGAGGACUGCCGUGUUCCUGUUUGCAAUUCUCGUCGUGCUCGGCACCUUCAUCGCUCAGUACCCUGCAGAAGCGGCCUGCGAUUUCCAGCAAUGUUGGGUCACAUGCCAGAGGCAGUACACUAUCUAUUUCGAGAGGGCAUUCUGUGACGGAGGUACUUGCAAAUGUGUGUACCGGACAUCAUAGCCACGGAAUUUCCCGUUAAUUCUCAAAUGGAGACGAGCAGCUGCAGAUUGACAACUUCUUAUUCUCAAGGGGAUUAUACACGCACACUUUUGGUGACGUUUAGAUUCUAUGCCGAGUAUUUGAUGUAACUACUGCUUACUGACUGUUUAAGUAGUUUAAAAUUAAAGAAUGCAAAUCACGAG